rnacentral:lncRNA from 1 species
UCGCACCUUUGUGAGAUUGAGUUGGGUCACUUCGAGUUGUUGUCGUCUUUAGCUUCAGGAGUCGGAGGUUUAUUUUUGUACCAGAAUCGAAGCCUCCGUUUGGAGCAGGUUCUUAUUUAUCGCUUUAUUUAUUUAUUUCCCGCAUCGCUUUUAUUUUAUUUAUUUCCCGCAUCGCUUUUAUUUUAUUUAUUUCCCGCAUCGCUUUUAUUUUAUUUAUUUUCCACACUCGCUUUACUUUAUUUAUUCUCCACACUUGCUUUACUUUAUUUAUUUUCCGCACUCGCUUUACUUUAUUUACUUUACGCACUUUACUCGCUCUUUACGCCUCACAUUCUAAAACAAACUUUUCAUCAUG